rnacentral:tRNA from 1 species
GGCCUUGUGGUGUUCAGCACAUAAAAUUGCAACUUUUAAAGAGCAGGAUGACAUCUGCCGGGGCUU